rnacentral:rRNA from 1 species
UACGAAGGGGGCGAGCGUUGUUCGGAUUUACUGGGCGUAAAGGGCGCGCAGGCGGCUUAUUUUGUCAGGCGUGAAAGCCCCGGGCUUAACCUGGGAACUGCGUUUGAUACGGAUGGGCUAGAGUUCGGGAGAGGAGCGUGGAAUUCCCGGUGUAGCGGUGAAAUGCGCAGAUAUCGGGAAGAACACCCGUGGCGAAGGCGGCUCUCUGGGACGGUACUGACGCUGAGACGCGAAAGCGUGGGGAGCGAACAGG